rnacentral:lncRNA from 1 species
GCUUCGGCUCUCCUUUUCGUGUUUUCAUUACCUGGAUUAGUUGGAUUCGGUACCGUAUUCCGCAUGCACCGGCCGCUAGCACGAGGAGUACGUAGCUAGCUAGCGUGCUCGUGUGUCAGAAAACCGCCGUCGGCAAGCCACUUUUCGACAGACCAGUUUUAGUUGCUUUUCCGACAGCAUCGAUCGUGGAGAAAAGAUACAGGGGAAGAAUGGUCAAGGACUCAACGUAAUUGCAGGAUGACCAAGACCAGUCUAGCUAGCUAGCCCCUCUGGAUCGACUGAUCAAAGUGUUGAUGACAUCUCAUUCGAUCACCAACCCACGCCAAUAGACACGUUCACGCACUAUACAUAGAAACAAGGCCAACCCGUAUUAUAUACGCCUACACUUACUAGGCAUGCUCGCAAAUCUCGGCAUAGAUAUAUUCUAGAGACUUGUCAGUUUAAAUGUUUUUUGCUCAAAAUUAUAUUCGAAGACCUAGAGAAUAGCCUAAAAAGGGAACAUAUACGCACUCUUUUCCUCGAAAGAUUCCUGUGAGACUGUAAUGUGAGCCUGCUAUUAAUAAAGUAGUGUUUCUUAUAGCCAAAUUAUUAUACAUGGUAGCUAUUAUAUUACUUAAAGAUGACAUGGUAAUGCUUACAGCCAACAACAGGCUAUAGCUGUUAAUCUUGUUCUAAGGGCAUCUUCAAUAAGGGGUACUACACGGGUACCAAGAAGGUAGUAACCAAUGGGGAGGAAAUAUGAAUACCACAACUAAAUAGUGAUUUCUUAAAAAAAGUAAUAGUUACUACACGGAUAACAAGACAGAAAAGAGAAUAACAAGUGGGUCUAUCAAAAAACAAAAAAGUAAAAAAUAUUAAAAGUAGAGAAAAAAUUUAGUAUGGAGAUGCCCUAAGUAGCUCCUCCUGUCCCCGGGCCGGAAGCUAGCUGCCGGAUAAUUGAUGGCGCUUCACGUGGGGGAUCUACGUAGCUCUCGCCUCGUUUUGCUCGAUCUCCUCUCAUCCCAUAUGUUCAGGCUAAUAAUUCGAUCGACCCGGUCCGCGGUGGAACGCGACGUUAACGCGGGCAUCCAUGUGUCCGUGCCACAAGGCCGGCAAGUCGGCAACGAGCUAGCCAGCUAGCUAGCCAGGCUUGUGUGGAUCGAUCUAUCGAGCAAAGGGCGCCGGCCGGCCGUGUCGGCUGUCACCGCCAAACGUAUAGAUCGAUCUAGACGCCGCCCGCGUAUGCAUGUGCAGCUACUAGUUAGCUAGCUACGGAUCAGUCUACUGUCAUUAGCCUUUCACUUUCAAAAGAUAAAGAAAACCGUAGCAUAAUUAGCUAACUAACCACACUAAUUGGAUGGAGAAGAUUUCUGGUAUUGGUAGCUGGUACGAAGUCACACGUGCAAGCUAAUUAAGUCCAGCAGCAGUGACGCUACUCAAAUAAUAGUAUCGGUCGAGGUCGUGUGCAUGCACACAGUGUUGCAACUGUUGUUGGUGUCCAAGUGUAGCUACAGCUAUAUACACAGCUCUCCCGCUAGCUAGCUAGGAACUGCAGCUUGCAUGCUUAAUUAGACCCCGGCGUGUGAUUAUAUAUUGGUCUAGCGUACGUACGUUCGCCUUUGCGUGUUCUUUGCUCUAGCUAGCUUCGGCUCUCCUUUUCGUGUUUUCAUUACCUGGAUUAGUUGGAUUCGGUACCGUAUUCCGCAUGCACCGGCCGCUAGCACGAGGAGUACGUAGCUAGCUAGCGUGCUCGUGUGUCAGAAAACCGCCGUCGGCAAGCCACUUUUCGACAGACCAGUUUUAGUUGCUUUUCCGACAGCAUCGAUCGUGGAGAAAAGAUACAGGGGAAGAAUGGUCAAGGACUCAACGUAAUUGCAGGAUGACCAAGACCAGUCUAGCUAGCUAGCCCCUCUGGAUCGACUGAUCAAAGUGUUGAUGACAUCUCAUUCGAUCACCAACCCACGCCAAUAGACACGUUCACGCACUAUACAUAGAAACAAGGCCAACCCGUAUUAUAUACGCCUACACUUACUAGGCAUGCUCGCAAAUCUCGGCAUAGAUAUAUUCUAGAGACUUGUCAGUUUAAAUGUUUUUUGCUCAAAAUUAUAUUCGAAGACCUAGAGAAUAGCCUAAAAAGGGAACAUAUACGCACUCUUUUCCUCGAAAGAUUCCUGUGAGACUGUAAUGUGAGCCUGCUAUUAAUAAAGUAGUGUUUCUUAUAGCCAAAUUAUUAUACAUGGUAGCUAUUAUAUUACUUAAAGAUGACAUGGUAAUGCUUACAGCCAACAACAGGCUAUAGCUGUUAAUCUUGUUCUAAGGGCAUCUUCAAUAAGGGGUACUACACGGGUACCAAGAAGGUAGUAACCAAUGGGGAGGAAAUAUGAAUACCACAACUAAAUAGUGAUUUCUUAAAAAAAGUAAUAGUUACUACACGGAUAACAAGACAGAAAAGAGAAUAACAAGUGGGUCUAUCAAAAAACAAAAAAGUAAAAAAUAUUAAAAGUAGAGAAAAAAUUUAGUAUGGAGAUGCCCUAAGUAGCUCCUCCUGUCCCCGGGCCGGAAGCUAGCUGCCGGAUAAUUGAUGGCGCUUCACGUGGGGGAUCUACGUAGCUCUCGCCUCGUUUUGCUCGAUCUCCUCUCAUCCCAUAUGUUCAGGCUAAUAAUUCGAUCGACCCGGUCCGCGGUGGAACGCGACGUUAACGCGGGCAUCCAUGUGUCCGUGCCACAAGGCCGGCAAGUCGGCAACGAGCUAGCCAGCUAGCUAGCCAGGCUUGUGUGGAUCGAUCUAUCGAGCAAAGGGCGCCGGCCGGCCGUGUCGGCUGUCACCGCCAAACGUAUAGAUCGAUCUAGACGCCGCCCGCGUAUGCAUGUGCAGCUACUAGUUAGCUAGCUACGGAUCAGUCUACUGUCAUUAGCCUUUCACUUUCAAAAGAUAAAGAAAACCGUAGCAUAAUUAGCUAACUAACCACACUAAUUGGAUGGAGAAGAUUUCUGGUAUUGGUAGCUGGUACGAAGUCACACGUGCAAGCUAAUUAAGUCCAGCAGCAGUGACGCUACUCAAAUAAUAGUAUCGGUCGAGGUCGUGUGCAUGCACACAGUGUUGCAACUGUUGUUGGUGUCCAAGUGUAGCUACAGCUAUAUACACAGCUCUCCCGCUAGCUAGCUAGGAACUGCAGCUUGCAUGCUUAAUUAGACCCCGGCGUGUGAUUAUAUAUUGGUCUAGCGUACGUACGUUCGCCUUUGCGUGUUCUUUGCUCUAGCUAGCUUCGGCUCUCCUUUUCGUGUUUUCAUUACCUGGAUUAGUUGGAUUCGGUACCGUAUUCCGCAUGCACCGGCCGCUAGCACGAGGAGUACGUAGCUAGCUAGCGUGCUCGUGUGUCAGAAAACCGCCGUCGGCAAGCCACUUUUCGACAGACCAGUUUUAGUUGCUUUUCCGACAGCAUCGAUCGUGGAGAAAAGAUACAGGGGAAGAAUGGUCAAGGACUCAACGUAAUUGCAGGAUGACCAAGACCAGUCUAGCUAGCUAGCCCCUCUGGAUCGACUGAUCAAAGUGUUGAUGACAUCUCAUUCGAUCACCAACCCACGCCAAUAGACACGUUCACGCACUAUACAUAGAAACAAGGCCAACCCGUAUUAUAUACGCCUACACUUACUAGGCAUGCUCGCAAAUCUCGGCAUAGAUAUAUUCUAGAGACUUGUCAGUUUAAAUGUUUUUUGCUCAAAAUUAUAUUCGAAGACCUAGAGAAUAGCCUAAAAAGGGAACAUAUACGCACUCUUUUCCUCGAAAGAUUCCUGUGAGACUGUAAUGUGAGCCUGCUAUUAAUAAAGUAGUGUUUCUUAUAGCCAAAUUAUUAUACAUGGUAGCUAUUAUAUUACUUAAAGAUGACAUGGUAAUGCUUACAGCCAACAACAGGCUAUAGCUGUUAAUCUUGUUCUAAGGGCAUCUUCAAUAAGGGGUACUACACGGGUACCAAGAAGGUAGUAACCAAUGGGGAGGAAAUAUGAAUACCACAACUAAAUAGUGAUUUCUUAAAAAAAGUAAUAGUUACUACACGGAUAACAAGACAGAAAAGAGAAUAACAAGUGGGUCUAUCAAAAAACAAAAAAGUAAAAAAUAUUAAAAGUAGAGAAAAAAUUUAGUAUGGAGAUGCCCUAAGUAGCUCCUCCUGUCCCCGGGCCGGAAGCUAGCUGCCGGAUAAUUGAUGGCGCUUCACGUGGGGGAUCUACGUAGCUCUCGCCUCGUUUUG